rnacentral:snRNA from 1 species
GUAUGUGAGCAUGAUCUGGCUAUGACACCUGUCACCCCAUUGACCGCCAGGGUUGAUUCUCCGCUGAUCUGGCUGGCUAGGGGGGUGUCCCCUUCCUCCCUGACUGCUCCAAUAUGCGUCCCUCCUGAAACUAUGCGCUCGGUUGAAGAGGACGGCCUUCCCAUAAUAGAGAGGGACCGGUCUUGGGUUGAGGGUAUACAAGUAUCUGCGCUCCCCCUGCUAGAACCUCCAAACAAGCUCUCUAGUAGGUAGCUGGGAAAUGUGGAAACCUCCCUCUUUGGCAUUAAGACAUGCAAAACAGA